GACGAACGCUGGCGGCGUGCUUAACACAUGCAAGUCGAACGGAAAGGCCCUGCUUUUGUGGGGUGCUCGAGUGGCGAACGGGUGAGUAACACGUGAGUAACCUGCCCUUGACUGUGGGAUAACUUCAGGAAACUGGGGCUAAUACCGGAUAGGAGCUCCUGCUGCAUGGGGGGGGUUGGAAAGUUUCGGCGGUUGGGGAUGGACUCGCGGCUUAUCAGCUUGUUGGUGGGGUAGUGGCUUACCAAGGCUUUGACGGGUAGCCGGCCUGAGAGGGUGACCGGCCACCUUGGGACUGAGAUACGGCCCAGACUCCUACGGGAGGCAGCAGUGGGGAAUAUUGCACAAUGGGCGGAAGCCUGAUGCAGCAACGCCGCGUGCGGGAUGACGGCCUUCGGGUUGUAAACCGCUUUCGCCUGUGACGAAGCGUGAGUGACGGUAAUGGGUAAAGAAGCACCGGCUAACUACGUG
rnacentral:rRNA from 1 species